GAGUGGCGAACGGGUGAGUAACACGUGGGUAAUCUGCCUUGCACUCUGGGAUAAGCCUGGGAAACUGGGUCUAAUACCGGAUANGACNAUCUCGNCGCAUGCGGUGGGGUGGAAAGUUCUGGCGGUGCAGGAUGAACCCGCGGCCUAUCAGCUUGUUGGUGGGGUAAUGGCCUACCAAGGCGACGACGGGUAGCCGGCCUGAGAGGGUGACCGGCCACACUGGGACUGAGACACGGCCCAGACUCCUACGGGAGGCAGCAGUGGGGAAUAUUGCACAAUGGGCGCAAGCCUGAUGCAGCGACGCCGCGUGAGGGAUGACGGCCUUCGGGUUGUAAACCUCUUUCGCCAGGGACGAAGCGAGAGUGACGGUACCUGGAUAAGAAGCACCGGCUAACUACGUGCCAGCAGCCGCGGUAAUACGUAGGGUGCGAGCGUUGUCCGGAAUUAUUGGGCGUAAAGAGCUCGUAGGCGGUUUGUCGCGUCGGCCGUGAAAUCUCCACGCUUAACGUGGAGCGUGCGGUCGAUACGGGCAGACUUGAGUUCGGUAGGGGAGACUGGAAUUCCU
rnacentral:rRNA from 1 species